rnacentral:rRNA from 1 species
UGGGGAAUAUUGGGCAAUGGGCGCAAGCCUGACCCAGCAACGCCGCGUGAAGGAAGAAGGCUUUCGGGUUGUAAACUUCUUUUGUCAGGGACGAGGAGAAGACGGUACCUGACGAAUAAGCCACGGCUAACUACGUGCCAGCAGCCGCGGUAAUACGUAGGUGGCAAGCGUUGUCCGGAUUUACUGGGUGUAAAGGGCGUGUAGCCGGGUCGGCAAGUCAGAUGUGAAAUCCACGGGCUUAACUCGUGAACUGCAUUUGAAACUGUUGAUCUUGAGUAUCGGAGAGGCAAU